rnacentral:rRNA from 1 species
GACGAACGCUGGCGGCGUGCUUAACACAUGCCAGUCGUGCGGCAAGGCCCUUUCGGGGGUCCACGAGCGGCGAACGGGUGAGUAACACGUGAGCAACCUGCCCUUCACUUUGGGAUAACUGCCGGAAACGGUGGCUAAUACCGGAAAUGACUUCCUCACCCAUGUGGGGUGGUGGAAAGCCUUCGGGAGGUGGGGGAUGGGCUCGCGGCCUAUCAGCUUGUUCGUGGGGUGAUGGCCUAGCAAGGCCUCGGCGGGUAGCCGGCCUGAGAGGGUGACCGGCCACACUGGGACUAAGACACGGCCCAGACUCCUACGGGAGGCAGCAGUGGGGAAUAUUGGACAAUGGGCGAAAGCCUGAUCCAGUAACGCCGCGUGAGGGAUGACGGCCUGCGGGGUGUAAACCUCUUUCGCCUGCGACGAAGCGAGAGUGACGGUAGCAGGUAAAGAAGCACCGGCCAACUACGUG